rnacentral:lncRNA from 1 species
UGCUGAUGCUCUAAGAGUCUGAUACAGGGCAAGCUUGCAUAUCUCUGCUGAUGCUCUAAGAGUCUGAUACAGGGCAAGCUUGCAUAUCUCUGCUGAUGCUCUAAGAGUCUGAUACAGGGCAAGCUUGCAUAUCUCUGCUGAUGCUCUCAGAGUCUGAUACAGGGCAAGCUUGCAUAUCUCUGCUGAUCCUCUCAGAGUCUGAUACAGGGCAAGCUUGCAUAUCUCUGCUGAUCCUCUCAGAGUCUGAUACAGGGCAAGCUUGCAUAUCUCUGCUGAUGCUCUCAGAGUCUGACACAGGGCAAGCUUGCAUAUCUCUGCUGAUGCUCUAAGAGUCUGAUACAGGGCAAGCUUGCAUAUCUCUGCUGAUGCUCUAAGAGUCUGAUACAGGGCAAGCUUGCAUAUCUCUGCUGAUGCUCUCAGAGUCUGAUACAGGGCAAGCUUGCAUAUCUCUGCUGAUGCUCUCAGAGUCUGAUACAGGGCAAGCUUGUCUAUCUCUGCUGAUGCUCUAAGAGUCUGAUACAGGGCA